AGGAGGCUUCUCGGCCUUCGGGGUAGAGCUGUGACCAUGACACCUGUUAGCUUGCUGUGGGCAGUCCUGGUCUCCAUGUGUCUGGGACCCAGUGUGGCCCAGACGGUCAUUCAGCCUCAACCAGAAGCGUCUGUACAGGAGGCAGGCACAGUGACCCUGGACUGUGCAUAUAGCACCAGUGAGAGUGAUUAUUAUUUGUUCUGGUACAAACAGCCUCCCAGAGGGGAGAUGGUUUUCAUUAUUCACCAAAAUGCUUAUGAACGACAGAAUGCAACCAACUAUCGCUACUCUGUGAACUUCCAGAAAGAAGCCAAAGCCUUCAGUCUCAGGAUCUCAGACUCCCAGCUGGAGGAUGCUGCAAUGUAUUUCUGUGCUUACAGUGGUGCACAGUGA